rnacentral:misc_RNA from 1 species
AAAUAAACCUGAUGGGAGUGAGCAUGGAGCGUAGCGAAAUAAAACGGACAGCAGGACUAUCG